rnacentral:rRNA from 1 species
GUUUGAUCCUGGCUCAGAACGAACGCUGGCGGUGCGUUUUAAGCAGGCAAGUCGAACGGUAACAGGUCAUUUUGAUGCUGACGAGUGGCGAACGGGUGAGUAAUGUAUAGAUAACCUACCCUAAAGUUGGGGAUAACUUGUGGAAACACAAGCUAAUACCGAAUGAAGUCAUAAGACAUAAGUUUUAUGAUGAAAGGAGCUUCAAAGCUCUGCUUUAGGAUGGGUCUAUAUCCUAUUAGCUAGUUGGUGGGGUAAGAGCCUACCAAGGUUAUGAUAGGUAACCGGCCUGAGAGGGUGGUCGGUCACACUGGAACUGAGACACGGUCCAGACUCCUACGGGAGGCAGCAGCUAAGAAUCUUCCGCAAUGGGCGAAAGCCUGACGGAGCGACACCGCGUGGAUGAUGAAGGUCGAAAGAUUGUAAAAUCCUUUUAUUGAUGAGGAAUAAGCUAGAUAGGAAAUGAUUUAGUGAUGACGUUAGUCAAUGAAUAAGCCCCGGCAAAUUACGUGCCAGCAGCCGCGAUAAUACGUAAGGGGCGAGCGUUGUUCGGAAUUAUUGGGCGUAAAGGGUGAGUAGGCGGUUUAUUAAGUCUAGGAUAAAAUACCAGGGCUCAACUCUGGAAAUAUUCUGGAAACUAAUAAGCUAGAGUCUGAUAGGGGAAGUUAGAACUCCUGGUGUAAGGGUGGAAUCUGUUGAUAUCAGGGGGAAUACCAGAGGCGAAGGCGAACUUCUAGGUCAAGACUGACGCUGAGUCACGAAAGCGUAGGGAGCAAACAGGAUUAGAUACCCCUGGUAGUCUACGCUGUAAACGAUGCACACUAGGUGUUAAAUGAACUUUAGUGCCGUAGCUAACGCGUUAAGUGUGCCGCCUGAGGAGUAUGCUCGCAAGAGUGAAACUCAAAGGAAUUGACGGGGGCCCGCACAAGCGGUGGGGNCAUGUGGUUUAAUUCGAUGAUACGCGAGGAACCUUACCAGGUCUUGACAUAUACAGGAAGUAAUUAGAAAUAAUUAUGCCUCUUUUGAGGUCUGUAUACAGGUGCUGCAUGGCUGUCGUCAGCUCGUGCUGUGAAGUGUUGGGUUAAGUCCCAUAACGAGCGCAACCCUUAUUGUCUGUUACCAGCAUGUAAAGAUGGGGACUCAGACAAGACCGCUGGUGAUAUAAACCAGAGGAAGGUGAGGAUGAUGUCAAGUCAUCAUGGCCCUUAUGACCUGGGCUACACACGUGCUACAAUGGCUUGUACAAAGUGAAGCAAAACAGUGAUGUGAAGCAAAACAGUGAUGUGAAGCAAAACACAGAAAGCAAGUCUCAGUCCGGAUUGAAGUCUGAAACUCGACUUCAUGAAGUUGAAAUCGCUAGUAAUCGUAUAUCAGAAUGGUACGGUGAAUGCGUUCCCGGGCCUUGUACACACCGUCCGUCAAACCACCCGAGUUGAGGAUACCCGAAGUUGUUGUUCUAACCGUAAGGAGGAAGGCACCUAAGGUAUGUUUGGUAAGGGGGGUUAAGUCGUAACAAGGUAACC